GGGAAUACUGAACAAUUGACAAAUUUACUUACAGUAUAUAACAUAGACAUUUCUCGGAAAUCUAGCACGCAAUGCUCAUAUGCCAUGUGCACAUUUAUAUCUAUUAAUUUACAUUAGCUUAUAGUUUUGUCCAACCCUUACAGAAAACCACUUGAACUUCACAUGUGCAAUCACAUGUUAAUAUCACAUGAACUAUGUGAAACACAUCUUAAAUGUGGUUUUGUAACAUUCUCAUAGUGCAAAUGUGUGAAACCCAUGUAAUCACAUAUGAACAUGAACAUGUGGACAGUAAAUGGUCACGUGGAAAAGUGACCCCAUGGGUUUCACACAUUUACAACAUGAAAUGUUCCAAAACUACAUGUUUCACAUAUUUCACGUGUGAUCACACAUGGUAAAGUUCAUAUGGCUUUAAUGUAAGGGGAUUUAGUGUUCUAGUAUAUUUGAGUAUUUUUAAUAAAUUGUAGUUUUUUAUGUAUUUUUAUUUAUUUAUUUUGUUUUCUGUUUUUAUUUCAGUUUUAGUACAUUAGGUACUUUAACUACUACUAUUUUUCGUAAGCUGGCAAGGCAACCUUUUUUUUAUUAAUUUUAUUUCAUUUUAGUAUGAAUUUAUUUUAUGUUUUAUUUAUUUCUUUUUUGUUUCAACAUUACUAGUUUUUGAUAACAAUAACAACACUGAUACAACAUGACUUACAAGUGAAGUAAAUCCAAAGAUGUGACCACAAUAGACAGUUAUGAGGACACCCAAUAUCCUGUAUAUAUAUUUUUUUGCAUUUGGUUACUUCCUUAGCUUGAUCUCAGAAAUAUCACACCAGUGUCAAGAGUCUUAUGAAACCUUUUAUGCUAGUUUGAGCUGCUUACCUGCUCUGCAAUCUCUGUGUUUGUGUGCGUGUGGACGGUCCGUUCGUGGACUCGUUCUCCAGCUGGACUUUGAAGUGGCUCUUCACUGAUCAAACAGCAGCGAGUUCAUCUUUCAUCUGACUCAUUUAACCUUUGAAAUGUGCUCGAUACCUUGAUACUGGGUGCAAAAUAAUACAAAUAUACUGUAAAUGGACUCUUAAGACUUAUAUUACUAUAGUUAAACUGCAUAGCUUUUAUCCUAAUAUCCCUUGUAUAAAAUGUAAUGAGGAAAUUAGCUACUGUUUUAUCGCAUGCACGCAGAGAGUUAGAGCUGUUCUGGAGAAAGCUCUUAAUAUGAUCUGUGACCUGACUGAAAAGAGUGUUUAAUUGUAGGCUAAAUUGUGCUUAUUGCAUGUUUAGCCUGCUAUAUUAUUUGUAAAUACAAGCUUUAUAGGUUUUAUCCGAGAUAAAAGUACAUGGAAAAGCAGUCAAUGAUAUGAAGAAAUGUCAUGUAAUCUUGCUUUGGAAAAGUUUGACUUGUAUAUACAUCUUAGAAAAAAAAAUUUAUAUGUAUUUAAUGAUUUGGACUCCCCUAAGACUUUCUUUGGUGAAAUGCAUUGCAAUGAGUUGCAAGCAGAUAAUGUGGAAUAUUAAUGUUGACUAUAAACAAAUCCCUGAUGUGAUAAGAAAACUGUUACAAUGAUCAAUAAAGUAACCAAACAAUCUUUAUUGUUGUAAAAUGUUGCAACAAUAUGUUUUUAUUUUUUUGAAAAAAUUACAUAUUUGUGAAAAAAGUAAUACAAAAUAUAUAAAAAAUACCUUAAAGUAACUACAAAUGCUCAUGUAAAGCAAAUAUCUUUAAAAGACAUUCUGUGUAGAACAUGCUCCUGAUUCUUGCAUUGUUAUUCCCUCUCCCCUAUUUACAUCUCUGCUCUAUAGUGACCAUGCAACUGACCAUUUUUUUCUGUGGCUAAACUUUUACAUGACUUUUGUAAAAUGACAUCUGUGAACAGUCUGUGAUAACUGAUUGUAAAUCUCACUGAAGCAACACAUGAUUGUCACCUGAAGGGACAGACACACACAUCUCACUCACUGUACUGCAGUACACUAUUAAUUCACUUCUUUACAUUUGUCUAUGUUUGUGUGCUGU
rnacentral:lncRNA from 1 species